UACGUAGGUGGCAAGCGUUGUCCGGAUUUACUGGGCGUAAAGGGCGUGCAGGCGGUUUGUUAAGUUCAGGGUGAAAGCUCCCGGCUCAACUGGGAGAGGUCCUUGGAUACUGGCAGACUUGAGGAGGGUAGAGGAGAGUGGAAUUCCCGGUGUAGUGGUGAUAUGCGUAGAUAUCGGGAGGAACACCAGUGGCGAAGGCGGCUCUCUGGGCCCUACCUGACGCUGAGACACGAAAGCGUGGGGAGCGAACCGG
rnacentral:rRNA from 1 species